UCGAGGGGCAGCGGGGAGCAAGCUUGCUUGCUCUGCCGGCGACCGGCGCACGGGUGAGUAACACGUAUGCAACCUGCCCUCCGCAGGGGGAUAACCCGGAGAAAUCCGGACUAAUACCGCGUGGUACACUUGUGGGGCAUCCCACGGGUGUUAAAAGGAAGCGAUUCCGGCGGAGGAUGGGCAUGCGGCGCAUUAGCUUGUUGGCGGGGUAACGGCCCACCAAGGCGACGAUGCGUAGGGGUUCUGAGAGGAAGGUCCCCCACACUGGUACUGAGACACGGACCAGACUCCUACGGGAGGCAGCAGUGAGGAAUAUUGGUCAAUGGGCGGGAGCCUGAACCAGCCAAGUCGCGUGAGGGAAGACGGUCCUAUGGAUUGUAAACCUCUUUAGGCGGGGAGCAAUGCCGGGCACGUGUGCCCGGAGGGAGAGUACCCGUAGAAUAAGCAUCGGCUAACUCCGUGCCAGCAGCCGCGGUAAUACGGAGGAUGCGAGCGUUAUCCGGAUUUAUUGGGUUUAAAGGGUGCGUAGGCGGAUUUUUAAGUCAGCGGUAAAAUGUCCGGGCUCAACCCGGGCCGGCCGUUGAAACUGGGGAUCUUGAGUGGGCGAGAAGUAUGCGGAAUGCGUGGUGUAGCGGUGAAAUGCAUAGAUAUCACGCAGAACUCCGAUUGCGAAGGCAGCAUACCGGCGCCCGACUGACGCUGAGGCACGAAAGCGUGGGGAUCGAACAGGAUUAGAUACCCUGGUAGUCCACGCAGUAAACGAUGAAUGCUAGUUGUCCGGUUCUUUGGGACUGGGUGACACAGCGAAAGCGUUAAGCA
rnacentral:rRNA from 1 species